rnacentral:rRNA from 1 species
GGACCAUCAUGUCGGUCGUGCCUCGGUACGUACUGGUAUUGUUGGUUUCUCCCUUCUGACGAACCAUGAUGUCAUUUAUUUGGUGUUGUGGGAAAUCAGGACUGUUACUUUGAAAAAAUUAGAGUGUUUAAAGCAGGCUCACGCUUGAAUACAUUAGCAUGGAAUAAUGAAAUAGGACGUUUGAUUCUAUUUUGUUGGUUUCUAGGAUCGACGUAAUGAUUAAUAGGGAUAGUUGGGGGCAUUAGUAUUCAAUUGUCAGAGGUGAAAUUCUUGGAUUUAUUGAAGACUAACUACUGCGAAAGCAUUUGCCAAGGAUGUUUUCAUUAAUCAAGAACGAAAGUUAGGGGAUCGAAGACGAUCAGAUACCGUCGUAGUCUUAACCAUAAACUAUGCCGACUAGGGAUCGGAUGAUGUUAAUUUUUUAAUGACUCAUUCGGCGCCUUACGGGAAACCAAAGUGUUUGGGUUCCGGGGGGAGUAUGGUCGCAAGGCUGAAACUUAAAGGAAUUGACGGAAGGGCACCACCAGGGGUGGAGCCUGCGGCUUAAUUUGACUCAACACGGGGAAACUCACCAGGUCCAGACAUAGUAAGGAUUGACAGAUUGAGAGC